GAUGAAGAACGCAGCGAAAUGCGAUAAGUAAUGCGAAUUGCAGAAUUCAGUGAGUCAUCGAAUCUUUGAACGCACAUUGCGCCCUGUGGUAUUCCGCAGGGCAUGCCUGUUCGAGCGUCAUUUCAACCCUCAAGCCUCGCUUGGUGUUGGGCCCUGCCCGCCGCGGCCGGCCCUAAAGAUAGUAGCGGCGCCGCCUGGCCCUCAGCGUAGUACAGCUCUCGCUCCAGGGUCCGGCGGCAGCCUGCCAGAACCCCCCAACUCUGUGGUUGACCUCGGAUCAGGUAGGGAUACCCGCUGAACUUAAGCAUAUCAAUAAGCGGAGGA
rnacentral:misc_RNA from 1 species